UUUCACAUUCAUCUCUCCCAACUCUCUCAGACCUCUCCCCCUCUCCACUUACUUUUCUCUCCUUGUCUCCCUCAACACUCUCUCUCAAAUCUAGCUCUCACCCUGUUGACAAUAUCAUGGUUUUUGACUGUGGCACAAAAUCAUAAGAUGCUAGCAAACCGUUUCAAAUCACGUCUAUUUUAUUUUCUCUACUCUUUGAAAUUGGCAGAGGGGGGAACUCACAAAAGCUGCUAUAGAACUCCCAAGUCCUCCAGUACAACAGCUUAAGGAACAGGCAGAGGUGGAGGAAUGGCCCCAAAAAUCACUGAACGAAAAACAGCAGGAGUAUCAGGAUUUGCUAAUCCGUUGUAUUGCUCAGCCUCUAGGAUUCUCCAAAGGCAGACCUGUUGCAGCCUGCAUCAUAUACAAAUGCCUGAGGCACUGGAGAUCAUUUGAAGUAGAAAGGGCUAGCAUUUUUGACCGAAUUAUACAGACCAUUGGCCAGGCGAUUGAGACACAAGACGACAACAAAACCUUGGCAUAUUGGUUAUCAAAUGCAUCCACGCUGCUGUUCUUGCUGCAACGUACACUAAAAGCGAGUGCUGCUGCUGGUAUGACUCCACAACAUCGGCGGUCACCAUCAACUUUAUUUGGGAGGAUGACCAGGAGCUUUCGCGGAAUUCCACUUGGCUCUGAUCUUUCUUCUGUUAAUGGUGAGGUGACUGGUGGGGUGGAUACAAUAAGACUGCAAAGAAAUUAAGGAGAAUUUGGGAUAAAAGACUGUUAUACAAUCUAACAUACAGUGUAUUGCAGUUGUAUCAUUAUGCUUACCUUGCGCAUAGAGUCUAUAGGGUGGUCAUCUCCAAGUCUAGGGUCCAUCAGUUUGCCGAGGCCUUCUACGGGAUCUGGCUCAUUAAAAGCUUCCUCGAACUGAAAAGUAUUGGAAGCAAAUUAUCAUUAGCUUAUAAAUUAACUAUCAGCAGCUAAUGACAUAGCUGUCCUAUUCAGUUUGGGCACUUGCUAGUACCCCCACUUUCAGUCAUGGUUAUAGUGGUGGCAGAGAUCAUUCUGUAAGUGCUGCGCAACUAAGGUCUUUCUUCUUUUGUUUCUUGUAUUAUAUUUUCUCCAAUGACUGCAGCAGUUGUAUAGUUACGUGUAAUGUGGUUUUUAAAAAAACAAUAGAGAACUAGAGAGAUAAUUUAUGGUAGUUAAGCAUAACAUAUAUAGUUUUUAUUGAAUAGUAUUGUAUAUUUCAGAACAGAUGGUCAUUUUAGUUUACAUUACAAAUAUAUACGUCCAUGUAUUGUUAACCAAAAUGAUUAUUUUAUGUUACAACUAUAUAGCUCAGGUGCUUCAAGUUAUAUAAUAAGGAAAUUAAUGAUUAGAUCUUAACUAGUUGGUCACUUCUUGAUGUAGAAUUAAUUUGAUAAAAAAUCUACAAUUCUUUGGGAUAGAUACUAUGGACAGAAUAAUAUUCGUAGGUCACCUCUUUCUUGUGGAAUUAAUUACCUUGCAGACAUGGCAACACAAGGGAAGCUAAUGCUCUGGGGUGCUUAGUUCUUGCAUAGACUCAUCAUAUCAAAAUGUAAACAUAUAUAUACCCUUCUAUUGUUUGAUUUUCAAUUCCCUAACUGUAUCUAUAUUACAUACACUUGCAGAUUAAUAGUCUAAUAGACAGAGGACAACUAUGGAGACUCGCAUCAUCUUCAUUUUUGCAUGCAAAUAUUGGACAUCUCCUGGUCUGGUGUUUAUGCAACAUAAAUUAAUCAACCUAUCCCUGAUUUUCAGAAACUCAAUGCCAGGCCUGCUACAACAGACUGUUGAUUUUGAAUGGAAAUCUGCUAUUGCUGCUAAAGUUUGGACUAAUGUUGCGAAAAAAGGCUUAGUCAAUUGUAAAUGAUGAAUUAUUGCAGGCAAUUGCGGAGGCAACUAAAGAUGUCACUGAUGGUGAGAGUUCGGAGAAUGACAUGAUGGGGAUGAUGAUGGUGAUGGCGAUGAGGAUGAUUGAAAUGAAUCUAACUAGCUAUAUGCAUUAUUGGUAGGGAUGUUGAUUUUGUUAAAACAUUGGUUUUUUAAACCGAGACCGAACUUAUAACUUUUUUUAUUCAGCUGUAACGUAUAUUUGCAUGGUUUCGGUUAUUUUGUUGAAAGAAUUUGUAAAAAUAUAUGAAUGCUUGUUGGGUUUUAAAUUAUGUUGUAUUGAAUUUUAAUGG